CCAAAGGCUCUUUUCAGAGCCACCCACCUCAUCGCUAAAGAGCUG
rfam:Buceros rhinoceros silvestris contig17487, whole genome shotgun sequence.